CAAUGAACAGAGAUUACACUCACAGUAGUUUGGGAACAGUGUUAGCAUGCGUAGUGUUUUAAAAAAUAUCGGUCAUAUGUAAAUGACACGUUUGGAACGGCUGGUCGCUAAUGACUUAGGAAGACAGUGCGUUCAGUCUAAAUUAGUUUUGUGUUGUUGUGUCACAGCAGAUCACACCGUUGGAGGUUGUUGGUGUGGUCGAGAAGGCCAUCUGUCGUGCAUGUGCGCCAUUUUGCUAGGGUUUGGCACAGAGCUGGAAGGCACUGUGUAGAUAUUUAAGUACUAUUUGGUAAUCUAGUUGUAUUACCAUUGUGAUUUUAAGAUGUCAUCCUCUUACAACAAUACCGAAGAAAGUUCUUCUGAUCGCAACGUGGAAAUAUGGAAAAUAAAGAAGUUAAUUAAAAGUCUGGAGAUGGCCAGAGGAAAUGGUACCAGCAUGAUAUCGCUCAUAAUACCACCAAAAGACCAAAUAUCGAGAGUAAGCAAGAUGUUGGCUGAUGAGUUCGGAACGGCAUCGAACAUUAAAUCUAGAGUAAAUAGAUUGUCGGUGUUGGGCGCUAUAACUUCCGUGCAACAUAGAUUAAAACUUUAUACAAAAGUGCCACCAAACGGGCUGGUAAUAUAUUGUGGAACAAUAGUUACUGAUGAAGGCAAAGAGAAGAAAGUUAACAUAGAUUUUGAACCUUUCAAACCUAUAAAUACAUCAUUGUAUUUAUGUGACAAUAAGUUUCACACAGAGGCCUUAACAGCUUUGCUUGCAGAUGAUAAUAAAUUUGGUUUCAUUGUUAUGGAUGGUAAUGGUGCUUUAUUUGGAACAUUGCAAGGAAACACGAGAGAAGUUCUUCACAAGUUCACGGUAGAUUUACCGAAGAAACAUGGAAGAGGUGGUCAGUCUGCACUUCGAUUUGCAAGAUUAAGAAUGGAAAAGAGACAUAAUUAUGUGCGCAAAGUUGCGGAAGUUGCAACAACUCUUUUUAUAACGAAUGAUAAACCAAAUGUAGCUGGAAUAAUAUUGGCUGGCAGUGCAGAUUUCAAGACUGAACUUAGUCAGUCAGAUAUGUUUGAUCCAAGACUUCAAGCAAAAAUCAUAAAGCUAGUUGAUGUUUCAUAUGGAGGAGAGAAUGGAUUUAAUCAAGCAAUUGAGUUAGCUGCUGAAUCUCUUCAGAAUGUGAAAUUCAUUCAGGAAAAGAAGCUUAUCGGACGUUAUUUUGAUGAGAUCAGUCAAGACACUGGAAAAUAUUGCUUUGGUGUUGAAGACACUUUAAGAGCGUUGGAGCUGGGGUCUGUAGAAACUCUGAUCUGUUGGGAAAACCUAGAUAUUCAGAGAUACGUGUUGAAAAACCAUGUGACCUCAGAGGAGAAAAUACUGCAUUUAACUCCAGAACAAGAGAAAGACAAGACUCAUUUCACUGACAGAGAGAGUGGAGUUGAACUUGAGUUAGUAGAAUGCCAACCUCUUUUAGAAUGGCUGGCAAACAAUUAUAAAAGUUUUGGUGCUACACUCGAAAUUAUAACGGACAAAUCGCAGGAGGGUUCUCAGUUUGUCAGAGGAUUUGGUGGCAUAGGAGGAAUUCUGCGCUACAAAGUUGACUUCCAGUCUCUUCAGGCAGAUGAGCCUUUGGAUGAUGUCGACCUAGAUGAUUACUAAGAUCUUUUGGCAGAUCACAUUUCAUAAGCUUGCUCAUAUAAGUGCCCACAAAACAGGUUUACUUCGAUACAAGGUAGACUUCCAAAGUAUGCAGUGUGAUGAGUUGGAAGAUGAUCUAUAUGACAUUGAUGACUACUAGGAAACAAUUGUAACAUAGUUUUUAUCUGAACUGUCGUCUGCAUGUGGUGGCCAACUCUCCGAACCAUGUUUUUGAUGUUUGUGAAUGUUAAAGUUUUUGCGAUUAUAAAGAAUGCCUUUAUACUGAUUGGAAGAUUGCAUUAGUCAGUUCUUUAAAAACAUGGUUGGUGGAGGAACUUUAAAAUAAGACUGCCAUGUGGACAAAGAAUAAGAAAUUUCUAGUAAAUACCACAGAGUUGACUUCACUGUCAAGUUACACUGAGCAAAUGAAAUGCUCAAGGUACUGACUUAAGACCCUGAAGUGCUUUCUCAGAGUUUUCAUUUGGUUGUAACAGCGAAUUGGACAUAAUGAAAAUGUUUAUUCUAAGAUUAUUUACAAUUUUUCAUACCGUUAUGUUUAUACAUUUUAGUUAUUUAUGUUAAAUGUUCCAAGAUAAGCAUCCUUCGUACCUGUGCUUCAUUUUCACUGCUGUAAAUUUGAGAUUUAAGCUGCUCUAUUAUACAAACACACCAGGAAAUUUCUGUGGAUCAGAAAGUUCAAGAAUUUCUGGUGUUGCAAAUGAAAUAGGCUCUACUGUAUCUAAAUGCACAGGAUAAUUAUUUUAACCUGUUUAUGGAAAGAUUCUAUUGGUUAAGGUUUUUAAACUAAUAACCUGUAAACUGCCAUUGAUAGUGGAGGUAAAUUGAUGUUGAUUGCAGAGUAUUGUCAUGUUUAAUUUCUGACACUAUAUACAUAUAUAUUGUGGAAAUGAAUUUCUUUGUGCAUUUUGGCACAACUUUAAUAUUAAACAUGUGAUGGA